rnacentral:rRNA from 1 species
UACGAAGGGAGCUAGCGUUGUUCGGAAUUACUGGGCGUAAAGGGCGCGUAGGCGGGUUUCCAAGUCGGGGGUGAAAUUCCAGGGCUCAACCCUGGGACGGCCUUCGAUACUGGGAGCCUGGAGAUCGGGAGAGGUGAGUGGAAUUCCGAGUGUAGAGGUGAAAUUCGUAGAUAUUCGGAGGAACACCAGAAGCGAAGGCGGCUCACUGGCCCGAGACUGACGCUGAGGCGCGAAAGUGUGGGGAGCGAACAGG